rnacentral:rRNA from 1 species
GUGGGGAAUAUUGGGCAAUGGGCGCAAGCCUGACCCAGCAACGCCGCGUGAGGGAAGAAGGUCUUCGGAUUGUAAACCUCUGUCCUUGGGGACGAAAAAAAUGACGGUACCCAAGGAGGAAGCUCCGGCUAACUACGUGCCAGCAGCCGCGGUAAUACGUAGGGAGCGAGCGUUGUCCGGAAUUACUGGGCGUAAAGGGUGCGUAGGCGGCUAGGCAAGUCAGAUGUGAAAUCCCCGGGCUUAACUCGGGAGUUGCAUUUGAAACUGCUUGGCUUGAGUGCAGGAGAGGAAAGCGGAAUUCCUAGUGUAGCGGUGAAAUGCGUAGAUAUUAGGAGGAACACCAGUGGCGAAGGCGGCUUUCUGGACUGUAACUGACGCUGAGGCACGAAAGCGUGGGGAGCAAACAGGAUUAGAAACCCUAGUAGUCC